GCUUUAAAAGAAAGCACCUGGGCCUACAAAUGGGUGAGGGAUUCAGUGAGUCAUAGUUAGGCAUCAGCAGUAUUAUAACAACAUCAUUGUUGUUGCCAUCCCAUGGGAGGGGAGGCUGUGAGAACCUGAGAGGCAGAAGGGUCACACACAAAAACAAGAAACAACUUUGAGACAUUGUAGUCCAAGGCAGUCAUAAGAUGGAAGCAGCGGGAGGUGCAGACAGAUCUGAGAGAUCAUACUUGAGGAACAGCAACAGCAGUGCUUCCUGGUGAUUCUGCAGAAGGAAACGGUCAGAGAAGGAAAGAGGACUUCAAGGACCAGGAGGCUCAAGGUGCAACAGAUGCACUGAGAGGAGAGGAUAUGAGAGGCCUGCUCUCUUUGGCAUGAAAGCACUGGGUGGCACUUGUUUCUUUGGAAGAGACCAGGCAGCAAGCCCAGAAAAAGGAGGCGGAAGUUGCUGAGGGAAAAGUGAGAGCUGAAGUCCAGAUCAAGGGCCUGGAGGAUGAGUGGCAUUUGAAACAGGGCAUGCAAAAGGAGCUCUGAGGGAGAGAGUAAUUACUCUGUGAAAUCUCCCAGCUGAAAGGAGAGCUGGAGCCAACUACAGGCUGGAAAGCAGACAGGGAAAUGCUGGAGAAAGAAGUGAGGCUCUAUUAGUGGUGCUCAGCUGAAGUGGCUCAGCAAGUCUGAGGAAAACAUUUGAAAGAGACCAGAAUCCACAGGACAGAAAAGCUGUUGCAGUACCCAAAUGAUGACCUCAUUUCAAAUGCUCACAAUGGGGGAAAGAGAGCCAUUCUUGUGCAGAGUGGGAAAAGUGUACUGGAGGCAGAGGGUGAGGAUCAUCCCUGGGUAGCAAAGGAACAGAGGUGACUUACCCAUCCCUGAUUCAGAGGAUGCAGAGUUCACAGUUGUCUGUUGGAUAAGGCAAGAGCCUGGGAGUCAGGACUAGAGCUGCUCACUUUAAGCAAGAGAGAAGGGUUUAGUGGAACUGUGAGGCACCUC